CGGCGCCAUUUCCGCUUCAACCACUCGUGAACGCGAGCGCAGGCGCGCCGGAGGAAACGGAGGCUGCGCUUGCGUAUGUGUGAUGCCGCCGCCCCACCGUCUACUUUCCCACCGACCCCGCUUACGUCUACCGCCUACCAGUAUAGCUGUCCAGCGACACCAUCAUGCAUUCAUUUCUCCAACAAACAUUUUCAUGGGCUCUUGCUCUAUACUGGGGAUGUAGUGGUAAAUGAAAUGGACGAGGCCCUGCCCUCGUGGAACUUACAGUCUGGCAAAGGAAACAGACAAUAAAAUUCUCAGUUGUCUAAGGAGGCAGAGAUGCAUGGGGAGAGGAUCAGAGUAGGGAUGCGGAAGCAGCGAGUGGUCAGGAGUGUGCGUGCCAAAAGGCAGGAGACCUGUGGGACGUGGGGGCAGCUGGGGCCGGAACUUGCGCUGGAGGAACACCCCUUGCCUGCUGGGGCGAGAAGAGGACCCUUUCCUUGGGUGAAAUUCCCCAUAUUGUUAAAAGGACAAUUAAAGAAAUGAAAGAGAGGUCACCUGGGUGAAUAGGCAACUUAGAUGGGCCUCCCUGUGUUCCUGUCAUGCCUCCAAUUCUGCGUCCAGGUGUCCGGAACACAUUUUUUUCUGCCUUUGAAACCUUCCAGUACCUCUGGCAGAGAUAUACCAUACCCUCCUUGUUACCUGCGUGCGGAAUCUUAACUCAUCGUUGUGCUACAUCUGCACCUUCUGCCUUUGUGCCUUGUUUUGUGUUUUCCCUCCUCCGGGGAGAAUAUAAUAAACUUAGCUGAGUCCGUUCUACAUACAAGGAAAUAAUUUAUUUUCUGCUAUGUGUUUGGGGAUGGGGAUAAAAAAAUGAACAAGAAACUAGCUCCUAUCAUUAAGGCACAGAUAGCCCUUUGAAACAUUACUUAACGGGCUAUGGAUAAGCUUCAGGAUAUUGCUGAUCCCCUAAAAUUAUACGCUAACUUAAAUUUUUUUUUUUUUGAGACAGAGUCUUGCACUCUUGCCCAGGCUGGAGUGCAAUGGCAUGAUCUCGGCUCACUGCAACCUCUGCCUCCCCGGUUCAAGCGAUUCUCCUGCCUCAGCCUCCCAAAUAGCUGGGAUUAAAGGUGCCUGCCACCAUGCCCUUUUAAUGUUUUGUAUUUUUAGUAGAGACGGGGUUUCACUAUGUUGGUCAGGCUGGUCUCGAACUCCUGACAUCAUGAUCCUCCUGCCUCGACCUCCCA
rnacentral:lncRNA from 10 species